UACGUGAGCCCCGAGCGUUAUCCGGAAUUACUGGGCGUAAAGUGUGCGUAGGCGGUCAUGUUAGUCUUCUGUUAAAUCCACCGGCUCAACCGGUGAACCCCAGUGGAAACGGCAUGACUUGAGUGUGUGAGAGGUUUGCGGAACUUAUGGUGUAGGGGUGAAAUGCGUUGAUAUCAGAGGGAACACCAAUUGCGAAGGCAGCUUACUAGACAGUUAUUGACACUGAGGCACGAAAGCGUGGGGAUCAAACAGG
rnacentral:rRNA from 1 species